rnacentral:tRNA from 1 species
ACCUGGCUGGCUCAGUCUGUGGAGUAUGAGACUUUUGAUCUUGGGGUUGUGAGUUCGAGCCCCAUGCUAGGUA